rnacentral:lncRNA from 1 species
GUGUUACGUGGAAGAAAAGUAGAUGGCUUUGCAGUGAGAUUUAAGCAUGACAAAUCUAAUGACUUCGAGGAAAUUAAGAAUUUUUACAGCCUAACACUGCACUGGUGGGGUGAAACAUGGAGCUGUUAUCUUACCCUUAAAUCAGUGCAACAGAUGUGGAGGGGCACACAAUGGGUUCUGCACAGAAUCAAUGGAUCUCUAACUGAUUUAUGGCUUUUAAACAUUAGAGCUUCCUUAGAAUUUAUCCUGCUUCUUUCUUUUCUCUCUUUUCUUCCCCCUUUCUUUUAUUUUGUCAACUGUAUAAUGUAUCACUAUCAUUCAUACAGUGUGAAGAAUGAAGGUGAAUUCUUUUCCCAACUCCUUGCUUUUUUUUUCUUUUGUGUGAAAGAUAGGCUUUUAUGUUUCUAUUUUUUCAUCUAAGUUUAUCUACUAAAGUGUUCAAAAAUGGGGGAACUUCUGUAAAGAUCUGGAGAAAUUUCACUUUAAAGUAUAGCACAAUCAAUUUAGAAAAGCCUAUAUUGGUAAAAACUGCCUAGUGUCAUUUAUCCUUACCUAGGAUAUUUAAUUUUUAAAUACAUCUUCAGAUUCAGUGUGAAACUACUGGUUUCCAGAGAGCGAAACAAUGUGAAGGCUUAUGUUCUCAAUAGUUUUCCUUAAAUUACAUGUCCACCUUCCCCCAACCCUUUUAAUCUUUUUCUUUUAUUCUUCUCUCUCUCCCAAACUAUAUUUUAUCAUCUUAUAGGGACAGAAGGAUCAGAUCAGUAAAGUAGCUUUUUUAAAAAAAGGUUAAAGUAGAAGUUUCAAGACUUAUUCUGGUGGUAAUAUCAAAUGAAUUUUAUAAUUGUGGUGAUUUCUCUUUCACAGUUCCUGUCUUUAUUGAAAUCCUGGAAUGAAUAUCACAGGAGCAAAGCCAACCAGGACUGACGUGAUUUCCCCACCAGUGAUGCUUGACUGGCUGGGAAAAGCAGCACCUCCAGCACCUGCUGUGAGAGAAAAGGAGCUUGCAAAGUCCUGCAGCCAGAACUGCCACCAAGGUCAGGAAUUGUGCAUUUUCUCAGUUUGGACGUUGGCAGAGGGAUCAUCUAUCACCUGCCUAGCACGGGCCCACAUUUGUUCUGAUGAUGCCCUGAGAAGAGGGAGCUGUUGGAGAGAUUUAAAGGUCCUUUUUCUGAGAAUACCUCCCACAGUACAUUUUUAAUAGCUGGAUUUAUGUGGAGGGAAAAAGAAUCACCACCGAAUUAAAAUACCUUCAAUUUGACCUAUAAGUCUCAGCUAGACCUACAAAAAGACUCUUAAUUACCUGAAAAUAUUCUGCUUACUAUGUGCUUAACCUUGUAAAUGUUCUUGUGGAGUGCAUGAAAGGAUUUGAGAAAUGUUAAGGUUAAAAUUUUACAAAACUCUUAUUAUAGUUGGUUAUUUCCAUUUGAGAAUAAUUAUACAAAAUAUGUCAAGCUUUGCAGACAAAUAAUUCAACUCCCAGAAUUAAAAAACAAAUUAGAAGAUUCAUCAAUGGACCUGUACAAAAUUAUCCAAUUAUUCUGCUGUUUGUUGUAAGUUAGCACCUUUUUAGUCUAAUAUAAUAAAAACAUUUGUAGUUAACA